UCACGUGCUCAGCUGAUGAACUGCCACGUUAGUGCAGGCACACGCCACAAAGUGUUGCUCAGGCGGCUCCUUGCUGCCUUUUUUGACCGAAGCACCCUUGCAAACAGCUGUGGGACAGGCAUUCGGUCCUCCACAAAUGACCCCAACCGCAAGCCACUCGACAGUCGGGUUCUCCAUGCUGUUAAAUUUUACUGCCAGAACUUUGCUCCUAGUUUCAAAGAGAGU